rnacentral:misc_RNA from 1 species
GGAAGUAAAAAUCGUAACAAGGUUUCCGUAGGUGAACCUGCGGAAGGAUCAUUACAGAGUUCAUGCCCGAAAGGGUAGACCUCCCACCCUUGUGUAUUAUUACUUUGUUGCUUUGGCGAGCGCAAGCUCGCUAGAGAAUACCAAAACUCUUUUUAUUAAUGUCGUCUGAGUACUAUAUAAUAGUUAAAACUUUCAACAACGGAUCUCUUGGUUCUG